AGGUGUCCCUACCAAUUCUACACUGAGAUUUUUCCUGUGUAUUUACAGGGAAAUUUAUUUUUAUACCUGCUGGUGUUAUAUAUAGGCAUGUGUAUAGGUGAGUGUCAUGAAUUUCCUCUUCUCAAUAUUUUCUAUAGUUUUUACAUUUCUUCACUUUGGAAAUGAUGCUUUUCUCAUCAUCUUGACCUUGCCAACUGCAACUGUGCCAGUAAAGGGGUUAUUUCAUAGUGAUGAAGUGAAUAUCAUUGCUUAGAGUUGUCCUAGUAGACAUUUCAUAAUAUCUUUGUAGGUUCUUGUCAAUACAUCACAAUGGACCCAAUAUUGCUCAUGAGUAAGAACCUUCCUGGGAUGCUAGUACCCAAAAAGGAAUGUUCUCAGAUUGACAUUGGUCUUGACCUUGCAUUACUACAAAUAUUCAGACACCUUUCCGAGACAAAUAAAGCCAACA